rnacentral:rRNA from 1 species
UACGAAGGGUGCAAGCGUUAAUCGGAAUUACUGGGCGUAAAGGGUGCGUAGGCGGUUGUUUAAGUCUGUCGUGAAAUCCCCGGGCUCAACCUGGGAAUGGCGAUGGAUACUGGGCAGCUAGAGUGUGUCAGAGGAUGGUGGAAUUCCCGGUGUAGCGGUGAAAUGCGUAGAGAUCGGGAGGAAUACCUGUGGCGAAGGCGGCCUACUGGGCCGGACCUGACGCUGAGACGCGAAGGCGUGGGGAGCGAACGGG